rnacentral:misc_RNA from 1 species
UGUUAGCUUGUGAGGAUUCAAUUCAAAUGGGCCAUGACUGUGAGGUGAUGUGAUAGAGGGAGUUAACUGGAAAUGGGGGGCACUGCUGCACUUGGGCUUGCUGGCAGACUUGGUAGAUCGAAGUGACUAGUGAGACAGAGAGAAGAAUUGAGACAGAUAUAGAGAGGGUAGAGAGGAGAUGACAGUGAGACACAAUUGAGAAUUUAUAAAUGAGUUUUAGUUUUGGGGUUGGAAACUUAAAACCACAGUAUAUCAUACCUAAAAAUAAAAAUUUAUUUAAAUUAUAGUAGAAUUCUAGUUUGGUUUUUAUGGUUUUUUCCCCUAAAAACCAAACUGAAUUGAAUAAACCAAAAUUUUUAUUGUGGGAUCGUUGAAUCUGGUUUAAUAUCGUUUUCCCAUAAAAAUUCGAUAAAUUUGAUAGGUUUGAAUAUUUAAUUAAACUUAUUUAAUUAUUUUUUAGGUUAACAUGAAGCCCUAAAAAUAUUAAAUUAAGCUUAGUUAAAUAAUUUGGGCUUUUAGGUUGUUCUAUUAAAAAAAAAAAA